rnacentral:lncRNA from 10 species
GCUACUGAGUUGGGAAUAUAUCUAGAUGACAUUCUUUUACAGCUUUCUUUAUUAAAACAUAAAUAAAUAAAUAAAUAAAUAAAUAAAUAAAUAAAGGGAGUGGGAUGAAACCUGGGCCUUGGAGAGGGAAUAGGAUAAGGAAGUCCUAGAGGAGGUUGGGGAAGAGAAGAGCCUGGGUGUGUAUGGGAAGCCAUAGCCUUCUGCCUGUCUAGGAGGAAGGCCACAAGGCCAGGACACUGUUUCUGGGAGCAGAUAAGAGAUACAGUGAAAAGGAAGCAUGCUUCCUUUUCAUGUCCCACUUACAAUGGUCUUGUGGACCAGAUCUGGUGAUAUGUAUACCACAUUUUCAGAAAAAUUUCAAUAAUAUCAUUUUUAUCAGCCUCAGAGCUAUCUAUUAUAUGACCAGAAUGUGUUCUUGUUGGACAUUUAUAUUGUUUCUAGUUGAUGUUUGUAUGAGCAUGCUGUACUGAAUGUCCCUGUAGCUAAGUCUUUGCUCACGAUGGCAAUAAUUCCAUAAAGAGAAAUUGCUGGGAAUGGGAGAGUGAGUGUGGGGAAGGGGAAUGCCAGAGCAAAGGACAUAAACAAUUUUAAGGUUUCAGAUAAGUAAUUUUCAAAUUGCUCCAAUUAACAUUCUAACACAAGCAUAUGAUGAUCUCUGUUUCCCCAUGUCCCAUUAUCACCAAGUAUUAUUUUAAAAAAAGGUGAGAUUUAAUUACAUCUUAAAUAGAAAAGACAUCUUUCUUUAAAAAGUGACAGGAUGACUGCAGAUGUACAGGCAUCAAGAGAGAUUAUCAGUAGGCAAGUUCAUGCUGCCUCCCGGUGGCCACAUAAAAAACUGACAAGAUAGAAAACCAAGUCCAACCAGAUAGGGACUAUCUAAGCAAGUCAUCAAUGUUAAUUUAUUUAGAGCUAAAGUUUUAGAAAGUGAGUGGAAGAAACACAGAAUAAAUGGACUUGAUCUUAGCAUAUUAGAGGAUAUGGGAGCAAGAAGAAAAACAUUCUUACCACUGACUAGAACAUGUGACAUGAUAGUGCGUGAUGCACUCAGAGAUGAUUUAUUAAACUGAGUGAUAACAAAAAAAAUUAACUUUUCGAUGUCAGGCUCUGAGGAAAGAUCACUUGCAACUUCCUUGAAGGGGCUAUGGGACUAUCUAUAUCUUGAGUAUUUCACAUCUGUUUCUUCUACAAGACAGUGAAGACAACAAGGUGCAGUCUUCUAAGGUAACUAUUGCCCUGAAAAGAAUACUCCUAAGAGUAAUUAUGUAUUCUGUGUCUUAGACUAUGUUUAGGGAAGAAAGUUUAUUUUAACAUUGAAAUUGUUUCUGUGUGCAAAACACUGUGCUCUCUAGGGACAAAGCAGGAAAGGAAAAGGGAAAAGUUGCGAAGACAAAUGACGGUUUUUAUACUAAAAGGAGUUAUCUUCUGCUGUUUUCCAGAGUUCCAUCCUCUUCUCUGUUUAUCUGUUUCUGCAUGAUCUCAUCUACUCCCAGGACUGCAAAUAGCACUUGCACAGUAAUCCACUUGCUUACUGAAUCUUUGACUUAGAUUCACUGUGGAUAAACAAUAUGCUUAGUAUUAUUUCCAUGAGACUUGAUGUUGGAGAAACACACAUCAAAUAAUCAUAUCAAUAGGCAUGUAUUUAUAGAUUAUGAUAAGUAAGGGAAAAAGUUCAGGUUACCAUGAGAAUGUAUAACUUAGUGGUUCUUAAAUAUUUUUCUCUCAUACCCCUAAUGCUCUCAUACCUGUAAUGAUUGAUAAUUAAUUUACUGAUAAUUGGGUACUUGCCUAGAUUCUUCAAUCUUUUUUUAAAAAAUAAAGUACUAAAAUUAGAGACUACCUGACUUGAAAAAUGAUUUUCUACCUAGCCAUUAGAAUGGUCUACAAUCUUAAUUCCUGGGAAGCUUAACAAAAGGACUUAAAAAAAUUAUAUGUGUUAUUAUUUCACCUAGAUAUGCCUUAUUUAACACAUAUGCUCAGAAAACAUACUGUUAAUUUUAAGAUACUUUUUCAAAACUUUUUUCAAUGAGGUAUAACAUAUAUAUAUAUAAAGUGCACUCAUCUUCAGUGUACAGGUCAAUGAAGUGUUUUUGUUUGUUGUUGUUGUUGUUGUUGUUUUUGUGUGUGUGUCUCACAGAAAUUUGAAUAAUAUGGAAAAAGACACAAUGGCCCUACAAAGGCAGGCUUCACAAUGCUACUAUUUUAAACAGCUGCUUAUUUGUUCAGUGUUUCAGGGGAAUUUACACUUCAGGGUAACAGACAGUAAUAAAUAUAGGCGAUGAAGACCUUUUUUUUUUUUUUUUGAGAUGGAAUCUCGCUCUGUCACCCAGGCUGGAGUGCAAUGGCGUGAUCUCGGCUCACUACAAACUCCACCUCCUGGGUUCAAGCGAUUCUUCUGCCUCACCCUCCUGAGUAGCUGGGAUUACAAGCGUGUGCCAUCACACCCAGCUAAUUUUUGUAUUUUUGGUAGAGACAGGGUUUCACCACUUUAGCGAGGCUGGUCUUGAACUCCUGACCUCAGGUGAUCCGCCCACCUUGGCCUCCCAAAGUGCUGGGAUUACAGGCGUAAGCUACCGCACCUGGCUAGGAGACAUCUUUAUUUAUAAAUUGGAAACUGGGCAACAGUGAAAGGGAAGGAGAAAAGGGGAACCAACUAGCUGAUUCUGACUCGCAGGUGGUUUGGUUCUUAGGCAGCUCAGCCUCAGAAAAAAACACAUUUAAAAGAUGAGGGUCUGAAAAUUGAUUCCUUUGGGACUGUUAUGCCUGUAUACCCCCUUGGGAAGCUUUUGGGCAUUUCUAAGUAUAUAGUACAGUAUUCCAGUCAUGACUACUCACCCAGACUUAGAAGUCUUCUCAGAGGAAGCAGCCUGUAAGCUGAGAACUGAAGGAUGAGUAUAAGUUAACUGAUGUAUAGGUAAUGUAAGACCUAUAUGUUCAUGGAGACUUCUUCCAGCAGAUUUCAAGUUAAAAAGCAUGUAAGUUAGAAAGCAGUAUGUGUAGCUUGUCUUUUCACUUUGUUAAUGGUUUCCUUUUUGGUGAAGAAGCUUUUUAGCUUUUAGCUUGAUGUAAUCCAAUUUGUAAUCCAAUUUGCCUAUUUUGCUGUGUUUUUGAGGUCUUACCCAAAAAAUCUUUGCCCAGAUCAGUGUCCUGUAGCAUUUCCUCAACAUUUUAUUCUAGUAGUUCCAUAGUUUCCAGUCUUAAAUUUAAGUCUUUAAUCCAUUUUGAGUUGAUUUUUGUGUAUGGUGAAAGAUGGGGAUCUAGUUUCAUUCUUUUGCAUAUGGAGAUCUAGUUCUCCCAGCACCAUUUAUUAAAGAGAGUGUCCUUUCCCAGUGUAUGUUCUUGGUGACUUUGUCAAAAAUGGGAUAGCUCUAAGUGUGGAAUUUAUCUAGGAGGAAAUAUCUGCAAAUCAUCCCUCCCACAAGGGAUUAACAACCAGAAUCUAUCAGGAACUAAAUAACGAAAUGCCAAAAAAAAAAACCCCAAAUAAUCCAAUUAAAGGAUGGGCAAAAGACCUGCAUAGACAUUUUUCAAAAGAAGACAUACAAAUGGUCAACAGGUAUAUGAAAAAAAAUGUUCAACAUCACUAAUCAUCAGGGAAAUGCAAUCAAAACAGCCAUGAGAUAUCAUCUCACCCCAACUAGAAUGACUAUUAUCCAAAAGACAAAAAAUAACAAAUCCUGUUGAGGAUGCAAAGAAAGGGAACAUCAGUACACUCUUGGUGGGAAUAUAAAUUAGAACAGCCACCAUGGUAAACAGUAUGAAAGUGUCUCAAAAAAACAAAAAUAGAUCUGAUGGAUAUCUCAAUUAACCUGAGAGAAUUGUUACACAUUGCAUACAUAUAUCAAAAUAUCGUAUGUAUUCCAAAAAUAUGUACAACAAUGAUAUAUCAAUAAAAAAUACAAAAAAGAGAAAGGUGUGUGUGUGUGUGUGUUAAAGUGUCCCAAGGUCCCUUGUAUUGUUUAAAAAGAGGGUAAAAAGUUAACUUUAGAAUUUGCUCCAUUAAGUAAGUGUUAAAAAUUGUUGAGUGGCCACCAACAAUUAGAUAGUACCAGAAAAGAUAGUACCCGAAGAUAGUAGAUAGUACCAGUACAUAGUACCAGAAAGAAUUACCCAAGUGGUAAAGCAGAAAAUGGCAGGUGGGGGUAGGGAGUAGGAAGGAGAAAUGUAUGUAAAGAAUAAAAUUAAAUCAGUUCAAGAGAAAGCAUUCCUGGAGAAACCUAGAAAAAGUAGGAAGACAAUGCAUAAAAUAAAAUGGUAGAAAUCACAAAAUAUCAGAAAUCAUAAUCAAUGUCAAUGGACCAAAGGUAAAUGCAAGCUUCUAAGACUGACUAAACAAAGAGUAAACAAACAACAUUGAGCUACAUGUUCUUUAUAAAGAGCCACACUAAAUCAUAAGGACAAGAAAGAAGGUUAGUAAAUAAAAGGAUAUAAAAAGAUACACCAUGGCAAAUACCAACUCAAUGAAUGUAUUUAGCCAUGUUAAAUAAAUGUCAGGUAAAAUACCUUAAGGCAAAAAAUCUCUUGACAUGGAGAAAGUUAUUACAAAUUGAUAAAACGGUCAAUUCAUCAGAAAUAAAUUUUAAAUCUUUAUGUACUUUAAAAAAUAUAUUCAAAGUAUAGAAAAGACAAAUAGGCAGACUUACAAUAAGCUGAUAAAAAUCACUUUCUGUAACUGAUAAAGCUGACAAGCACAUCAGUAACGAUAUA